GAUGAACGCUGGCGGCGUGCCUAAUACAUGCAAGUCGAGCGAACGGACGAGGAGCUUGCUCCUCUGAUGUUAGCGGCGGACGGGUGAGUAACACGUGGAUAACCUACCUAUAAGACUGGGAUAACUUCGGGAAACCGGAGCUAAUACCGGAUAAUAUUUUGAACCGCAUGGUUCAUUAGUGAAAGACGGUUUUGCUGUCACUUAUAGAUGGAUCCGCGCGGCAUUAGCUAGUUGGUAAGGUAACGGCUUACCAAGGCAACGAUGCAUAGCCGACCUGAGAGGGUGAUCGGACACACUGGAACUGAGACACGGUCCAGACUCCUACGGGAGGCAGCAGUAGGGAACCUUCCGCAAUGGGCGAAAGCCUGACGGAGCAACGCCGCGUGAGUGAUGAAGGUCUUCGGAUCGUAAAACUCUGUUAUUAGGGAAGAACAAAUGUGUAAGUAACUGUGCACAUCUUGACGGUACCUAAUCAGAAAGCCACGGCUAACUACGUG
rnacentral:rRNA from 1 species